rnacentral:rRNA from 1 species
GCCAGACUCCUACGGGAGGCAGCAGUGGGGAAUAUUGCACAAUGGGGGAAACCCUGAUGCAGCGACGCCGCGUGAGUGAAGAAGUAUUUCGGUAUGUAAAGCUCUAUCAGCAGGGAAGAUAAUGACGGUACCUGACUAAGAAGCCCCGGCUAACUACGUGCCAGCAGCCGCGGUAAUACGUAGGGGGCAAGCGUUAUCCGGAUUUACUGGGUGUAAAGGGUGCGCAGGUGGCAGGGCAAGUCAGAUGUGAAAGCCCGGGGCUCAACCCCGGUAUUGCAUUUGAAACUGUCCGGCUAGAGUGCAGGAGAGGUAAGCGGAAUUCCUAGUGUAGCGGUGAAAUGCGUAGAUAUUAGGAGGAACACCAGUGGCGAAGGCGGCUUACUGGACUGUAACUGACGUUGAGGCUCGAAAGCGUGGGGAGCAAACAGGAUUAGAUACCCCUGUAAA